rnacentral:rRNA from 1 species
UAGGGAAUCUUCCACAAUGGGCGAAAGCCUGAUGGAGCAACGCCGCGUGUGUGAUGAAGGGUUUCGGCUCGUAAAACACUGUUGUAAGAGAAGAAUGACAUUGAGAGUAACUGUUCAAUGUGUGACGGUAUCUUACCAGAAAGGAACGGCUAAAUACGUGCCA